rnacentral:rRNA from 1 species
AUUGAACGCUGGCGGCAGGCCUAACACAUGCAAGUCGAACGGUAACAGGAAGAAGCUUGCUUCUUUGCUGACGAGUGGCGGACGGGUGAGUAAUGUCUGGGAAACUGCCUGAUGGAGGGGGAUAACUACUGGAAACGGUAGCUAAUACCGCAUAACGUCGCAAGACCAAAGAGGGGGACCUUCUGGCCUCUUGCCAUCUGCUGUGCCCAGAUGGGAUUAGCUAGUAGGUGGGGUAACGUCUCACCUAGGCGACGAUCCCUAGCUGGUCUGAGAGGAUGACCAGCAACACUGGAACUGAGACACGGUCAAGACUCCUACGGGAGGCAGCAGUGGGGAAUAUUGCACAAUGGGCGAAAGCCUGAUGCAGCCAUGCCGCGUGUAUGAAGAAGGCCUUCGGGUUGUAAAGUACUUUCAGCGGGGAGGAAGGGAGUAAAGUUAAUACCUUUGCUCAUUGACGUUACCCGAAGAAGAAGCACCGGCUAACUACGUG